rnacentral:rRNA from 1 species
CAGCCGUAAACUAUGCGCGUUAGGUGUACUGGUGACCACGAGUCACCGGGGUGCCGAAGGGAAACCGUGAAACGUGCCGCCUGGGAAGUACGGUCGCAAAGGCCGAAACUUAAAGGAAUUGGCGGGGGAGCACCACAACGGGUGGAGCCUGCGGUUUAAUUGGACUCAACGCCGGAAAUCUCACCGGAUAGGACAGACAUAUGAUAGUCGGGCUGAAGACUCUACUUGAUGAUCUGAGAGGUGGUGCAUGGCGUCAGUGACU